GAUGAACGCUGGCGGCGUGCCUAAUACUUGCAAGUCGAGCGAACAGACGAGGAGCUUGCUCCUCUGACGUUAGCGGCGGACGGGUGAGUAACACGUGGAUAACCUACCUAUAAGACUGGGAUAACUUCGGGAAACCGGAGCUAAUACCGGAUAAUAUAUUGAACCGCAUGGUUCAAUAGUGAAAGACGGUUUUGCUGUCACUUAUAGAUGGAUCCGCGCCGCAUUAGCUAGUUGGUAAGGUAACGGCUUACCAAGGCGACGAUGCGUAGCCGACCUGAGAGGGUGAUCGGCCACACUGGAACUGAGACACGGUCCAAACUCCUACGGGAGGCAGCAGUAGGGAAUCUUCCGCAAUGGGCGAAAGCCUGACGGAGCAACGCCGCGUGAGUGAUGAAGGUCUGCGGAUCGUAAAACUCUGUUAUUAGGGAAGAACAAAUGUGUAAGUAACUAUGCACGUCUUGACGGUACCUAAUCAGAAAGCCACGGCUAACUACGU
rnacentral:rRNA from 1 species